AAAGGUGAAAAGAACCCCGGGAGGGGAGUGAAAUAGAACAUGAAACCAUAAACUUACAAGCAGUAGGAGGACGACUUAACGUCUGACUGCGUGCCUGUUGAAGAAUGAGCCGGCGACUUAUAGUUAGUGGCAGGUUAAAGUAGAGAAUACUGAAGCCAUAGUGAAAGCGAGCCUGAAUAGGGCGCCAGUCACUAGUUAUAGACCCGAACCCGGAUGAUCUAACCAUUACCAGGUUGAAGCUUAGGUAAUACUAAGUGGAGGACCGAACCGACUGAUGUUGAAAAAUCAGCGGAUGAGUUGUGGUUAGGGGAGAAAUUCCAAUCGAAUUCGGAGCUAGCUGGUUCUCCCCGAAAUGUGUUUAGGCGCAGCGGUUAAUGUUAUAAUUUAGGGGUAAAGCACUGUUUCGAUGCGGGCUGGUAAUUCGGUACCAAAUCGUGGCAAACUAAGAAUACUAAAUGAAUAAUUAACCAGUUAGACUGUGGGGGAUAAGCUCCAUUGUCAAGAGGGAAACAGCCCAGAUCACCAGUUAAGGCCCCAAAAUAAUUACUAAGUGGUAAAGGAUGUGAGUUUGCAUAGACAAUCAGGAGGUUUGCUUAGAAGCAGCAACCCUUUAAAGAAUGCGUAAUAGCUCACUGAUCGAGUAGAUUUGCGCCGAAAAUGAACGGGACUAAGUAAUUUGCCGAAACUGUGAGAUAUUUUAAAAUAUCGGUAGGGGAGCGUUCUGUUGUAGGUUGAAGCAUUAACGGAAGUGGAUGUGGACGAAGCAGAAGUGAGAAUGUCGGCUUGAGUAGCGAAAACAUGGGUGAGAAUCCCAUGCCCCGAAACCCUAAGGGUUCCUCCGGCAGGCUCGUCCGCGGAGGGUUAGUCAGGACCUAAGGCGAGGCCGAAAGGCGUAGUCGAUGGAUAACAGGUCAACAUUCCUGUACCGGUUAUGUUUUGGGAAGAGGGACGGAGAAGGCUAGCCAAGCCAGAUGUUGGUUACUGGUUCAAGCGUUCGAGGCGUUGAGGAGCGGUGAAAACGUUCCGAGCUGAGGCGUGAGUACGAGCUCCUACGGGAGCGAAGUUGGUGAUGUCAUGCUUCCAAGAAAAGCUCUAUACCCGUUAAGGCAUAACUGCCAGUACCCGAAACCGACACAGGUGGGGUGGUAGAGAAUACCGAGGGGCGCGAGGUAACUCUCUCUAAGGAACUCGGCAAAAUGACCCCGUAACUUCGGGAGAAGGGGUGCCACCGCAAGGUGGUCGCAGUGAAGAGGCCCUGGCGACUGUUUACCAAAAACACAGGUCUCCGCUAAGUCGCAAGACGAUGUAUGGGGGCUGACGCCUGCCCAGUGCCGGAAGGUUAAGGAAGCCGGUCAGCGUAAGCGAAGCUGGCGACUGAAGCCCCGGUGAACGGCGGCCGUAACUAUAACGGUCCUAAGGUAGCG
rnacentral:rRNA from 14 species